rnacentral:lncRNA from 1 species
CAGAUGUAUAAACAGUACAAGUUAAAUAUUAAAAGCUCAUAGUUUUCCAGCAAAGUGUUAGAAAAGUUCUGUGUCGGUGUCGUCUGGAGGGAAUGAAACAAAUGUCCUGAAUUUUAGCUACCACAUGCCAGGGAACAAAUCGUCAUGAAAGUGUUUUGGACCAGUUGGAUUCCUGCCCAUCCAUAGGUGGACAUUAAGGUGCUGUUGGAUAUUCCUAUUUUCACUUCUCCAUGAAUCUCCACUACAUGAAGUAUCAUUAAGCUGCUUGACAGAAUGUUUUUAAAUCCUUGGAGAAUGGCUACAUCGACACAGAAGGUCUACUCAGCUUCACAAAGCAGAGCUGUCUGGAGACUGAAGUAAUUGGGGAGAGGAUCUCCCAUGUCCCCCUGGUAGCAGCUACCUUCACUGUUCACUAAGAGCAGCAGCUGAUUCAAAUCCUUGGUACACCUGCACUUUGGGGCAGAAGUUGAUUUUGAG